rnacentral:lncRNA from 1 species
CUUGUUGAGUUGGUUUCCGCAUCAGCCUUCCAUCCCAGCGUCGAAGCAGGGGAAGCAUCCAACCCUCCGUGAUCCACGCGGUGCACCAGCGACCAGCUCCUUCCCAGCCGCAUCCAACGAGUGCCCACCACGUCCAGCUCCUCUGCCAUCAGCCCGUCCCAGCCGGCUCCAAUCACAGCGCUGAAACAGGGAGACUCUUUGAUGCCGAUGAUUCGAAUCCUCCCCCACCAAAGCAACCCGAUCCUCCA